AUUGAACGCUGGCGGCAGGCCUAACACAUGCAAGUCGAGCGGAAGAAGGGAGCUUGCUCCUGGAUUCAGCGGCGGACGGGUGAGUAAUGCCUAGGAAUCUGCCUGGUAGUGGGGGAUGACGUCCGGAAACGGGCGCUAAUAACGCAUACGUCCUGAGGGAGAAAGUGGGGGGGCUUCGGACCGCACGCUAUCAGAGGAGCCUAGGUCGGAUUAGCUAGUUGGUGGGGUAAGGCCUACCAAGGCGACGAUCCGGAAAUUGUCUGAGAGGAUGAUCAGUCACCCUGGAACUGAGACACGGUCCAGACUCCUACGGGAGGCAGCAGUCGGGAAUAUUGGACAAUGGGCGAAAGCCUGAUCCAGCCAUGCCGCGUGUGUGAAGAAGGUCUUCGGAUUGUAAAGCACUUUAAGUUGUGAGGAAGGGCAGUAAGUUAAUACCUUGCUGUUUGGACGUUACCAACAGAAUAAGCACCGGCUAACUUCGUG
rnacentral:rRNA from 1 species